GAUGAAGAACGCAGCGAAAUGCGAUAAGUAAUGUGAAUUGCAGAAUUCAGUGAAUCAUCGAAUCUUUGAACGCACCUUGCGCCCUUUGGCUAUUCCGAAGGGCAUGCCUGUUUGAGUAUCAUGAACACCUCAACUCUUUAUGGUUUUCCAUGAUGAGCUUGGACUCUGGGGGUUUUGCUGGCUCACAGUCGGCUCCUCUAAAAUGAAUCAGCUUACCAGUGUUUGGUGGGUAUCAUGGGUGUGAUAACUAUCUACGCUUGUGGUUUUUCCACCAGGUAACCUUCAGCAGUGGAGGUUCGCUGGAGCUCAUAGAUGUCUCUCCUCAGUGAGGACAGCCCUUUGAAUGUUUGAUCUCAAAUCAGGUAGGACUACCCGCUGAACUUAAGCAUAUCAAUAAGCGGAGGA
rnacentral:misc_RNA from 1 species